GCCGGGCGCUGUGGCAUGUGCCUGUAGUCCCAGCUACUCUGGAGGCUGAGGUGGGAGGAUCGCUUGAGCCCAGGAGUUCUGGGCUAUAGUACGCUAUGUCCAUAGGGUGUCCGCACUAAGUUCAGCAUCAAUAUGGUGACCUCCCGGGAGCGGGGGACCACCAGGUUGCCUAAGGAGGGGUGAACUGGCCCAGGUCAGAAAUGGAGCAGGUCAAAACUCCCGUGCUGCCGGGCAUGGUGGCUCACGCCUGUAAUCCCAACACUUUGGGAGGCUGAGGUGGGCGGAUCACCUAAGGUCAGGAGUUCGAGACCAGCCUGGUAAGCAUGGUGAAACCAUGCUUUU
rnacentral:SRP_RNA from 1 species